rnacentral:antisense_RNA from 1 species
GUGGUUCUGGUAGCGAAGGGCGAGACUGGGCUCGCCAGGCGGAAGUGGUUGGAGACUGCGUGUUUUCCUAGAAAGUCCUCGACCUUCGUCGGGGAGAGGAGGGGAGUGAUAAAUUGGAAGGCGGACAAGCGACAAGUGCAGUACUGGAAAGACCCAGACAUACUUGGUUGUGACCUCAGGACUCAAUAAAAUAAACAGCUGGAAAUAAGCAGACUACUGUAAGAGUGAAUUGAAAAGAAAACCCAAGGUCACAUCUCCCAAGAAGCAGUAAUGUUCCAGCAAUAAGAAAAGGACAGUUUUUUCUCUUUUGCAUGGUGAGCCUUAUAUGAAUUACAUCAAUUUUGUCACCAAUAUCCAUCAUCAGAACAUUUUGAUUCUACAUAACACAUUAUAAAAUGGUCACAACAAUCAAGACUAUAUCCAUAGAUGUCCCAGAAAUAAUAUCUGACUAUACAGAGCAGCAUUACCAAGCCACCAAGAAGUCUGCCUAGUAAUGACAAUGAUAACAACAGCUAACACUUAUCAACAGAGCAGAGGAACAGAGCCACAGAUAACUGAAAACCACUUUGGCACUGAGGAGGUAUGCAGACAAGAUCUGGAAGGGAAUCUAGAAAAAUGACAACUUUGGAAUAAUAGAUACCUUUUGUUUUCUUAUUGCUUUUAUUUUUGUGAUAAAUAUUAAGAGUAAAAAGAAAAUUCACAUUGUUUGUUCUGUGGUACUCAGUCAACUUAGGUUUUACUCAAUAGCAUGUUGUUAAUUAAUCUUCCAAAUUGUUGGGGUAUUUCAUAUGAAUUAGCCCCUACCCCCACCGUGUCCUUUCCCCAGACUCCAUUCCUAGAUAAUCACUUCUGUCAAUUCCUAGAUAA